GUGUAAUUUGUAGAGGAUGUUUCGGGUGCGGUAUCGGUCUAAGUCCUUUGGAACAGGGCGUCAUAGAGGGUGAGAAUCCCGUAUGUGACCGACGACCAACCCCAUGUGAAACCCCUUCGACGAGUCGAGUUGUUUGGGAAUGCAGCUCAAAAUGGGUGGUAAAUUUCAUCUAAAGCUAAAUACCGGCCAGAGACCGAUAGCGCACAAGUAGAGUGAUCGAAAGAUGAAAAGCACUUUGGAAAGAGAGUCAAAAAGUACGUGAAAUUGUUGAAAGGGAAGCGCUUGCAACCAGACCUGCCCGUACGCGAUCAACCACUGUUCUCAGCGGUGUACUCGCGUGCGAUCAGGCCAGCAUCGGUUUAGGCGGUUGGAUAAAGGCCUCGAGAAUGUAGCUCCCUCGGGAGUGUUAUAGCUCUUGGUGCAAUGCGACCAGCCUGGACCGAGGACCGCGCUUCGGCUAGGAUGCUGGCGUAAUGGUUGCAAGCGACCCGUCUGAAACACGGA
rnacentral:rRNA from 1 species